rnacentral:rRNA from 1 species
CACGGGGGGCGCAAGCGUUGUCCGGAAUUAUUGGGCGUAAAGCGCUCGUAGGUGGUUUGUUACGUCUGCUGUGAAAACCUAGGGCUUAACCCUGGGCUUGCAGUGGAUACGGGCAGACUAGAGGUAGGUAGGGGAGAAUGGAAUUCCUGGUGUAGCGGUGAAAUGCGCAGAUAUCAGGAGGAACACCGAUGGCGAAGGCGGUUCGCUGGGCCGAUGCUGACGCUGAGAAGCGAAAGCGUGGGGAGCGAACAGG